GGGGAAGGGCUCUAGCUCUGUGGUAGGGCAUCUGUUUUGCGUGCAGAACGUCCCAGGUUCAAUCCCCAACAUCCCCA